UCCCGCACGCCGCCGCCGCCGCCGCCGAUCUCGCCCCCUGCCAAACGCGCGCCCGCUUCUCCCACGCCCGCACGCCCGCACGCCGCCGCCGUUCGCGCCAGAGUCCGCGCCAGCUCUGGGCGGACGCCGGACGCCCUCUCCAUCGAUUCCGCGCCAGCUCCGGGCGGACGCCGUACGUCCUCGCCAUCACCGUCGCCGCCUCCAUGCCGACUCCGCCAUCGCCGAGUCUUCACACGGACGGCGCAACCCUCUGACUCCAGCGUCCCGGGCAAGAACGGGUCGAUUGCCGGACGCCCUCGCCAUCGAGGCCGCGCCAGCUCCGGGCGGACGCCGGACGCCCUCGCCAUCACCGUCGCCGUCGCGUUCGUCCGUCCCCUAUCGACUCAUCGAUCUGCCACCGCCUGCCAGGCGCCAUGCCCCCCGCACAGACGAGCACCUCCAGGAGUCCAGGUCAGUCUCUGAUUCAUGACGCCCGCAGAUUUGCAACCAAUGGCUCGACAUGAUUUUUCUUCUUAUCCCCGUGAUGAACCUCCUAUAGUCUAAUAAGAAAUUAGGAUUUCAUCCGUGGAUCCUCUAGGCCGCGUGACUUCACCUCAAUUCUAUAGAUUGACUUCAGAUCGACGCGUGCUCAUGGAUGAAUUGUUGGUGAUUCCCCUGCCGGCUCAAGGUACUCUUCAAUUUGCUCAUCUUCUUCUAUUCCCGCGGUUAAUUUCUGUCCAUGGUCAAUUAGGAUUUUUGUUGUUAAUUUCUGUCCAAUAGCAAAUUCCUACGGUUGCUGACGAGCGCCCGCAACCUUGAUGUAUAUACAGUAUGAAGAUCAUGCAAGGUAGAUUCGAUCCCAUUGCUUUGCAAACUGAACCAGCUUUUGCUUAGUUUUCUGAAAUCUUAUUGUUACAUUCUCUCUACUUAACCUGUGUUUACUGAACUCCAUGCUUAGGUCCUUGCAGUAGGCGGGUUCCUUUGAUGGUUAGCUUCGAGAUUGACCUGUCGUCCUACUGGAAAGAUCAUUGAGCUCAGUAGAGUUGAGAUGCACAAGCGCGGAGCUGCAGUAGGAACAACACCAUGUCUACGCUCACUGCCCCUAGCCUGUUCGAUGUUUUGACUGCUUAUCAAAUGGUGGACAACUGGACAUGCUAAUGUUUCAUUGAAAGUCUUUCAUUCACAUAGUUUGAUUGUAGAUUUUAUUGCAGAAUAUAUUCGGAAUUGAAGAAGAACUCACUUUUUGCUAAAAUGCUGAUUUUGUCUGACUAUAUCAUGAUUGUAGUCAAGACUGCUAAUCCACCUUAUUAGGAAUUUCUCAGCGAGGAAGGAGCACAAGCCAGCAUUACUGUUUUUUUUCGCGGAACAUAAUAUUAAGAGAGUUAAGUCACUUUGCCUACUGAUUUUUUUUCCUCUUACAGAAUAUUUCUAUGCUUUGUAAAGUUUUGUUUUAACAUCAUGGCCUCCUUGCACAUGUAUGGUCCCUUAUAUGCUGAAACCUUUGAUUGAUUUGUUUGCCCUGCAUAUAUCUGCCAUUGAAGCAUGAAAUAAUUGGUGCUCCUUCAAUUGUCACUAGCACUCCUUAAGUAGCCUUAGGAUUUGGUACCUCAAGUGUAUUUCUUUUUAGAAUCGAUUGACUUUGAUCCGUACACAGCUAUCAUCCUAUAUUUUUUCUCCUGCCAUGUUAUAAUCGGCAUUGUUAGAAGUGCUAAUUAACCUAUGACGUUUGAUCUAAAUCCUAGAUGGCUGGUAUGCCACUUUCUAUAGCACUUAUAAUUUUAGGAAGUAUCGAUAAUGGGAGAUAGUUAAUGUUUUUUGCAACAACAUGACCUUCACAGAUCCUCCAACACCUGAAGAAAAGGGAAAAGGAUCCACAGAGUCUAUAAAUUAUUGAAAUUGAGUCUCUCAUGAAAUAUUUUGAGAUUGCAAUACUUUGAGUCAGAAAAAUGAUUUAUUGAUUAGCACUUUGGUUCUUUUAAAGCAUUAUCAUACUCUGUAUUUUCCAAAUUAACUUUUUGAUCCUAUUGUUUACAUCAUUCAGACAGCUGUUUUGACUUUUGCAUGUUAUUUUUCACAUACAUUAGCAAAAGGUUAUUUGUAUGGUCAGUUCAACUAUCAUUUCUCCAAUUAAUUUACUGCUAAUUAUUUUCUUUGAACCCUUCAGUUUAUACAUUGUUUACAAGGCCAUGGUAGGCCCCAAAUAUUUUGGCCAAGAUUUGAUCAAUUAUAUGUGGCAUAUAGGAGUAAUAAUAUGUAGUAUUUUUGUUCACAGGUGCAAUAGUUUCCCCCCUUUUAUCACUUUCUCUAGAAGGUAUACUGUGAAAUAUAUGACAUUUGCAUGUUGGGGACGCCAUUGGAGAUGGAUGAGGUGGUGGGAACACAGGACUACAGGAGCAUGGUAGGGCGGAGCUCUGAUGGAUAUGCAAAUGGAGCGUCCCGCAUUAAUAUAUGACAUUUUCGGUCUGUGUUUAGGAAUUUAGACUUAUGGAAUCGAUAUUCAAAUCAUUGUAUGGCAUGGAUAUAUAUAACUGAAAAAAAUAUAUCUUAUGUACCAUAUUUUUUGUUUAACUUUCCAAUUAUUGCUUUGAAAAUUUGUUGCUUCCUGUGGCAACGUAUGUGCAUAGAACUAUUUGAUGAAAAAUAUAAAUGUAUAUGGAGUUGGCUAUA